rnacentral:rRNA from 1 species
AUACGGAGGGUGCAAGCGUUAAUCGGAAUUACUGGGCGUAAAGCGUACGUAGGCGGUUAUUUAAGUCAGAUGUGAAAGCCCCGGGCUUAACUUGGGAACUGCAUUUGAAACUGGGUAACUAGAGUUUAGUAGAGGGGAGUGGAAUUUCAGGUGUAGCGGUGAAAUGCGUAGAGAUCUGAAGGAACACCAGUGGCGAAGGCGACUCCCUGGACUAGAACUGACGCUGAGGUACGAAAGCGUGGGUAGCAAACGGGAUUAGAAACCCCAGUAGUCC